rnacentral:rRNA from 1 species
CACGUAGGCACCAAGCGUUGUCCGGAUUUAUUGGGCGUAAAGGGCUCGUAGGCGGUUCAGUAAGUCGGGUGUGAAAACUUUGGGCUUAACCCAAAGCGUGCAUCUGAUACUGCUGUGACUUGAGUUCGGUAGGGGGGGGGGGAAUUCCUAGUGUAGCGGUGGAAUGCGCAGAUAUUAGGAGGAACACCAGUGGCGAAGGCGCCACUCUGGGCCGAAACUGACGCUGAGGAGCGAAAGCAUGGGGAGCAAACAGG